AGAAAUUUCAUAUCCCAUCAUGUCUAAUUUUGAAUUUUUCAACUUCUUUUUUUUCACAUAUCAAACUCAUAACACUGCUGAAAUUAAUUAAUAAUUAGCUAUUUUUUAUAAGCAAAAUUACAUUAAUAAAUCUAAAAAUUUUAACAUAGCACCGCCCAUUUACAAACAGUGAACAAUGAGAGAUUUCUCCCUCAGGGACGAUUAAAACUGUUCAUAAGGUUAUGAAGUAUCGAGAUCUGGUCCUGAAAAGGGAACAAUCAUCUUCACAAUUGGCAGCACAAAGUUAUUGCAUCCCAUAUUCUUUUUCACUUGCAAAGGAUGACUUUUGGUUCAAGACACCAGGAAGAUAAGAUCUGCAGCCAUUUUUGCAGCUUGAAAAGUUUUGCAAGAUAACUGCUGCAAAAGUAUGCAUACUAUUUAUGUAUAUGAAUUUAAUUUUUGAUCUGAUAAUAAAGAAGGAUGCCAAAAGUUGUGGUCCAUUGCUCUUGAAAACAUGCAGUGAAGAAACUGUUGCAAGAGGGUAAACAACAGUAGGACCACCAAAUUAUAAUUUCAAAUGAUACAAAAGCAAAUUGAAAAAGAAAAAGAAAACAAUGAUAAGAAAAUACAAUUUACCAUCAAUUAGGGUUUCAUUAUACACAUACCCGUUUGAGUCUCCUGCUUUCUCACUACGAUAUGAUCAUGGAAAAUGCUUAGAGGGAAAUAAUAAUAACAAUAAUAAAUUAAGUAUGUAAUUGGUAGCCGCUGAGUUAAAAGAGUCUAUUUCUAAGACUGAAAGCAAACAAGAAAGAAGUGUGUAUAUGGUAGAAUAUGGCAGGGUUUCCCUUUGGAAGUCUUUAUGCCGUACCAGAUGGGUAACAAAGACUGGAUGGAUAUAAAAUUCAUGUCCUGCAAAGAAGAGACAUGGCUUCUCAGAUAUGCACCCUUGUGAUGGAAACAACCCAAGAUGCUACCAAAAUUCCUGCUUUUCAAAUCACUGUAUUUG
rnacentral:lncRNA from 1 species